rnacentral:rRNA from 1 species
AUUGAACGCUGGCGGCAGGCCUAACACAUGCAAGUCGAGCGGAUGAAGGGAGCUUGCUCCUGGAUUCAGCGGCGGACGGGUGAGUAAUGCCUAGGAAUCUGCCUGGUAGUGGGGAUAACGUCCGGAAACGGGCGCUAAUACCGCCUACGUUCUGAGGGAGGAAGUGGGGGAUCUUUCGACCUCACGCUAUCCGAUUAGCCUAGGUCGGAUUAGCUAGUUGGUGGGGUAAAGGCCUACCAAGGCGACGAUCCGUAACUGGUCUGAGAGGAUGAUCAGUCACACUGGAACUGAGACACGGUCCAGACUCCUACGGGAGGCAGCAGUGGGGAAUAUUGGACAAUGGGCGAAAGCCUGAUCCAGCCAUGCCGCGUGUGUGAAGAAGGUCUUCGGAUUGUAAAGCACUUUAAGUUGGGAGGAAGGGCAGUAAGUUAAUACCUUGCUGUUUUGACGUUACCAACAGAAUAAGCACCGGCUAACUUCGUG